ACUCCUUCCUGUGGGUUUCCAAGAGGGACUAGCAGGAAGGUAACGCCAAUCCCCCCACUACAGACCGCCACCCCCUCGCGCGGGUCCCGGCCCCAUUACAGCGCGUGGGCGGCGAUCCAGCAGGAGGAGGCGCAGAUCCACAGGCCAAAGGAGAUGCAGACGCGGUGGCGGGCGAAGCAGUGGUCCAGGUAGUCCCAGUCCCAGAGCGCGGGCGAGGGCGCGGAGCUGGGCGCCUCCCCCAUGGCACCGCUCGGCGCGCACCGCCCGGCCGGAGCUCCAGCCUCCUCCGCUGCGGGCAGCCGGGGCGCCGCCUGCGCACCCUUCUCCAGGCUCCCCUCGGCCGCCGCGGCAGAGGUGGGCGCGCCCCGCUCCGCGCUCCCGGGCGCGCGCGGCCACGGCGACACCCGGGGAAAGUUUCCGGGACCGCACGGCUCCCCACCCUCGCGCUAUUGUCGGGGGUCGGCGGGGUGCAGGCCGCCCCCCAGCGGCGGGAGCCGGAGAAGCCUCCGCACAAAGGCUGUGGUCCCCGCCCCCGCCACUCCGCGGUGGCGCCCGAGCCCCGCAGACUCUUCGCAGCCACCCAGCCCGAGUCCCGCAGCCGGACGGGACCAGCAGGCGGGCUGAGGGCGGGCCGAGCUUCGGCAGGGUGUCUUAACGCACCUUGUCCCUUCACUAAUUCACAUUUUCUGAACCAAACAAUACACACCCUUGUCCUGGAGAAGCGCUUGGGAGCUGGCAACCUGAGAGUCUGGCUAAAUGACCCACACUGGCCUCCAAUCCAACUCACGGACUUCUUGCUUCAGCAUCCCAAGUAGCUGGAAUUACAGCCUUACCACCAUCUUCUUGGAAACUUCUGUGCCAUGAGAGCCAAGCAGCAAAUGCACAGGCUGAAGUGCAAAAGAAGAAAGAUGAGGCAGAAGGUCCAAGUAAACCAACCUGUGCACCGUGGAGGCCAAGGGAGCAGAAAUAAGGAAAGCUGGAGACUGGGGACAUGGGUACAACUUGUUGGACUGCCUACUACUGUCCAGAAUUUGUGUUGGAGGAUCUAGAGCUUCUAUGGCCAUCCCAUCAUCAACACCAUCCCAUCAUCAACACCACCUCUGAGAGAAGACCCACCUUGCUCAUAACAGCACCUGUUGGUCCUUUGCCCGGGACCUUUGGCAUCCUGGACUAGUUUGUUUCUCAGUUGCAGCUGAGUGUGCUGUUUUAACUGAAGAAUAAAAAAUAACUAUAUAAAAUCAGCAAAUGUGGGCUGGGGCUGGGGCUGGGGCUGAGUGGUAGAGCUCUAGCAUGCCUAGCAUGUGUGAGGCCCUGAGCUCAAUUCUUAGCACUGCAUAUAAAUAAAUAAAAUAAAGGUCCAUUGACAACUAAAAAACUAUUUAAAAAAAAAUCAGCAAAUGUGCAACCUCCACUUUUUUCUCCUCUUAGAAUUGCUUUCCUUUGUUUAUUCAGAUAAAGGUCUCUUGUGGUUCCAUACAGGUUUUAAGAUUUUUUUCAUUUCUGUGAAGGGAUUUUGGUAGAGAUUGAGUUUAAUCUGUAUUUUGCUUUAGUUAAUAUGUAUAUUUUAAUUAUAUUAAUUCUUCCUAAUAAGAAUGAACUGUAUUUUCA